rnacentral:rRNA from 1 species
CCUACGGGGGGCAGCAGUGGGGAAUAUUGGACAAUGGGCGAAAGCCUGAUCCAGCCAUGCCGCGUGUGUGAAGAAGGCCUUCGGGUUGUAAAGCACUUUCAGUGGGGAAGAAAGCCUUGGGGCUAAUACCCUCGAGGAAGGACAUCACCCACAGAAGAAGCACCGGCUAACUCCGUGCCAGCAGCCGCGGUAAUACGGAGGGUGCGAGCGUUAAUCGGAAUUACUGGGCGUAAAGCGCGCGUAGGCGGUCUGAUAAGCCGGUUGUGAAAGCCCCGGGCUCAACCUGGGAACGGCAUCCGGAACUGUCAGGCUAGAGUGUAGGAGAGGAAGGUAGAAUUCCCGGUGUAGCGGUGAAAUGCGUAGAGAUCGGGAGGAAUACCAGUGGCGAAGGCGGCCUUCUGGACUGACACUGACGCUGAGGUGCGAAAGCGUGGGUAGCAAACAGGAUUAGAUACCCUAGUAGUC